AACGAACGCUGGCGGCGUGGAUAAGACAUGCAAGUCGAGCGGGACACUGCGGGUAGCAAUAUUCGGAGUGUUCAGCGGCGCAAGGGUGCGUAACACGUGGGCAAUCUGCCGUGAAGCCCGGAAUAACCUCGAGAAAUCGAAGCUAAUACCGGAUGUGAUUUUUGGAGGACAUCCUUUGAAAAUUAAAGCUGGGGAUCGUAAGACCUGGCACUUCUCGAUGAGCCCGCGGCCUAUCAGCUAGUUGGUGAGGUAACGGCUCACCAAGGCUAAGACGGGGUAGCUGGUCUGAGAGGACGACCAGCCACACUGGAACUGAGACACGGUCCAGACACCUACGGGUGGCAGCAGUCGAGAAUUUUUCACAAUGGGCGAAAGCCUGAUGGAGCGACGCCGC
rnacentral:rRNA from 1 species